rnacentral:rRNA from 1 species
GUCGUGUCUAGAAAUAAGCGUGAGUGGCAUGAGAAACUUCUUGAGGCCUUGUGGGCUUAUAGAACCACAACACGUACACCAACUGGAAUGACACCAUACUCCCUCGUAUUUGGAGGAGAGGCAGUUCUGCCAUUAGAGGUACAAAUUACCUCGCUUAGAGUUGCUAUUCAGGAGAAACUUUCUGAAGAAGAGGCCAUAAAAUUACGCCUCGAGGAACUCGAAAUGCUCGAAGGAAAACGCCUUCAGGCAUUACAAAAUUUGGAGGCGUAUCAGGCUAGAAUGUCCCGUGCUUUCGACAAGCGCGUUAAAAGGAGGUCAUUCAAGCAAGGAGACCUAGUGCUCACCAUCAUCCGUCCAAUGAAUGUUACACGACGGAUAGGGGGAAAGUUCGAGCCAAAAUGGGAGGGUCCCUACAUCAUAAAAGAGGUCUACUCUAGUGGUGCAUACAGGAUAAUUUCCCCUGACGGCAAGUAUUGCCCGCCACCGAUAAACGGGAAAUUCCUUAAGCGCUAUUAUGCUUGA